rfam:Gossypium arboreum cultivar AKA8401 contig_11386_7, whole genome shotgun sequence.
UGUUAAAAUCUUCAUCCAUUUCUACCAUUAAAAACCAACAUAGAUGAAAAAAUAACCAGGCAGUUACCUCUUUCAAACGUACAUGAGCCAGUUUUUAACAAUAGAGAUGGAUGAAAUUUUCAAUA